rnacentral:rRNA from 1 species
GACGAACGCUGGCGGCGUGCUUAACACAUGCAAGUCGAACGCUGAAGCUUGGUGCUUGCACUGGGUGGAUGAGUGGCGAACGGGUGAGUAAUACGUGAGUAACCUGCCCUUCACUCUGGGAUAAGCCUGGGAAACUGGGUCUAAUACUGGAUACGACAUGUCACCGCAUGGUGGUGUGUGGAAAGGGUUUUACUGGUUUUGGAUGGGCUCACGGCCUAUCAGCUUGUUGGUGGGGUAAUGGCUCACCAAGGCAACGACGGGUAGCCGGCCUGAGAGGGUGACCGGCCACACUGGGACUGAGACACGGCCCAGACUCCUACGGGAGGCAGCAGUGGGGAAUAUUGCACAAUGGGCGGAAGCCUGAUGCAGCGACGCCGCGUGAGGGAUGACGGCCUUCGGGUUGUAAACCUCUUUCAGCACGGAAGAAGCGAAAGUGACGGUACGUGCAGAAGAAGCGCCGGCUAACUACGU